UACGUAGGGUGCAAGCGUUUAAUCGGAAUUACUGGGCGUAAAGCGUGCGCAGGCGGUUGUGCAAGACAGAUGUGAAAUCCCCGGGCUCAACCUGGGAAUUGCAUUUGUGACUGCACGGCUAGAGUGUGUCAGAGGGGGGUAGAAUUCCACGUGUAGCAGUGAAAUGCGUAGAGAUGUGGAGGAAUGACCGGAUGGCGAAGGCAGCCCCCCUGGGAUAACACUGACGCUCAUGCACGAAAGCGUGGGGAGCAAACAGG
rnacentral:rRNA from 1 species